AUGAACGCUGGCGGCGUGCCUAAUACAUGCCAGUCGAGCGAACGGACGAGAAGCUUGCUUCUCUGAUGUUAGCGGCGGACGGGUGAGUAACACGUGGAUAACCUACCUAUAAGACUGGGAUAACUUCGGGAAACCGGAGCUAAUACCGGAUGAUAUUUUUAACCGCAUGGUUCAAAAGUGAAAGACGGUCUUGCUGUCACUUAUAGAUGGAUCCGCGCUGCAUUAGCUAGUUGGUAAGGUAACGGCUUACCAAGGCAACGAUGCAUAGCCGACCUGAGAGGGUGAUCGGCCACACUGGAACUGAGACACGGUCCAGACUCCUACGGGAGGCAGCAGUAGGGAAUCUUCCGCAAUGGGCGAAAGCCUGACGGAGCAACGCCGCGUGAGUGAUGAAGGUCUUCGGAUCGUAAAACUCUGUUAUUAGGGAAGAACAUAUGUGUAAGUAACUGUGCACAUCUUGACGGUACCUAAUCAGAAAGCCACGGCUAACUACGUG
rnacentral:rRNA from 1 species